UAGCGGGAUGCUUUACACAUGCAAGUCGAACGGCAGCACGAGAGAGCUUGCUCUCUUGGUGGCGAGUGGCGGACGGGUGAGUAAUGUAUCGGAACGUGCCCAGUAGCGGGGGAUAACUACUCGAAAGAGUGGCUAAUACCGCAUACGCCCUACGGGGGAAAGGGGGGGAUCGCAAGACCUCUCACUAUUGGAGCGGCCGAUAUCGGAUUAGCUAGUUGGUGGGGUAAAGGCCUACCAAGGCGACGAUCCGUAGCUGGUUUGAGAGGACGACCAGCCACACUGGGACUGAGACACGGCCCAGACUCCUACGGGAGGCAGCAGUGGGGAAUUUUGGACAAUGGGGGAAACCCUGAUCCAGCCAUCCCGCGUGUGUGAUGAAGGCCUUCGGGUUGUAAAGCACUUUUGACAGGGAAGAAAUGACAGGAGCUAAUAACUUCUGUAGAUGACGGUACCUGUAGAAUAAGCACCGGCUAACUACGUGCCAGCAGCCGCGGUAAUACGUAGGGUGCAAGCGUUAAUCGGAAUUACUGGGCGUAAAGGGUACGCAGGCGGCUAGGAAAGAAAGAUGUGAAAUCCCAGGGCUCAACCUUGGAACUGCAUUUUUAACUACCUGGCUAGAGUAUGUCAGAGGGGGGUAGAAUUCCACGUGUAGCAGUGAAAUGCGUAGAGAUGUGGAGGAAUACCGAUGGCGAAGGCAGCCCCCUGGGAUAAUACUGACG
rnacentral:rRNA from 1 species